rnacentral:rRNA from 1 species
CAUUAAACAUUUUUGGCCGUAACAAGCCUUAAACCUUAUCUAUACGUACCUCCACAUUCUCCUUCGGCGGGGUAACACCCGCCGUCGGAACAACAAACCCUCUUUGCAUCUAGUAUUCUACCAGUUCUGAUAAAAAAAUUAAUCGUUACAACUUUCAACAAUGGAUCUCUUGGCUCUGGCAUCGAUGAAGAACGCAGCGAAAUGCGAUAAGUAGUGUGAAUUGCAGAAUUCAGUGAAUCAUCGAAUCUUUGAACGCACAUUGCGCCCCUUGGUAUUCCAUGGGGCAUGCCUGUUCGAGCGUCAUCUACACCCUCAAGCUCUGCUUGGUGUUGGAGCGUCUGUCCCGCCUCCGCGCGUGGACUCGCCCUAAAAGAAUUGGCAGCGGUCCUUGCCCCCUCUCGCGCAGCACAUUGCGCUUCUCGAGGGCGGCUCCGGGCCUGCGACCCACGAAGAUGACCACCGUCUUUGACCUCGGAUCAGGUAGGGAUACCCGCUGAACUUAAGCAUAUCAAUAAGCGGAGGAAAAGAAACCAACAGGGAUUGCCUCAGUAACGGCGAGUGAAGCGGCAACAGCUCAAAUUUGAAAUCUGGCCUCCUUUGGGGGUCCGAGUUGUAAUUUGCAGAGGGUGCUUUGGCAUGGGCGGCGGUCUAAGUUCCUUGGAACAGGACAUCGCAGAGGGUGAGAAUCCCGUAUGUGGGCGCCUGCCUUUGCCGUGUAAAGCCCCUUCGACGAGUCGAGUUGUUUGGGAAUGCAGCUCUAAAUGGGAGGUAAAUUUCUUCUAAAGCUAAAUACCGGCCAGAGACCGAUAGCGCACAAGUAGAGUGAUCGAAAGAUGAAAAGUACUUUGGAAAGAGAGUCAAAUAGCACGUGAAAUUGUUGAAAGGGAAGCGCUUGCAGCCAGACGUGCCCGCAGUUGCUCACCCCGGCUUUUGCCUGGGGCACUCUUCUGCGGGCAGGCCAGCAUCAGUUUGGGCGGCCGGAUAAAGGCCUCUGUCA